CCUACGGGAGGCAGCAGUGAGGACUAUUGGUCAAUGGGCUUACGCCUGAACCAGCCAAGUCGCGUGAGGGAAGACUGCCCUAUGGGUUGUAAACCUCUUUUGUCAGGGAGCAACGCCGGCUACGUGUAGCCGGACUGAGAGUACCUGAAGAAAAAGCAUCGGCUAACUCCGUGCCAGCAGCCGCGGUAAUACGGAGGAUGCGAGCGUUAUCCGGAUUUAUUGGGUUUAAAGGGUGCGCAGGCGGGCUGUUAAGCCGGCGGUAAAAAUUCAGGGCUCAACCCUGUCGAGCCGUCGGAACUGGCAGCCUUGAGUGGGCGAGAAGUAUGCGGAAUGCGUGGUGUAGCGGUGAAAUGCAUAGAUAUCACGCAGAACGCCGAUUGCGAAGGCAGCAUACCGGCGCCCGACUGACGCUGAGGCACGAAAGCGUGGGGAUCGAACAGGAUUAGAUACCCUUGUAGUC
rnacentral:rRNA from 1 species